rnacentral:antisense_RNA from 1 species
UGCUUCGGCGGGCGGUGCGUGGGGAUUCGCCAGAAUCCGCUGGAGUCUUUUUUGCUGAUUGUUGGGUCUCCGGUACGCCAACCCGCACCGUCCGCCACCUUG